AGUGAACGCUGGCGGUAGGCCUAACACAUGCAAGUCGAACGGCAGCACAGUAAGGGCUUGCUCUUACGGGUGGCGAGUGGCGGACGGGUGAGGAAUACAUCGGAAUCUACUUUUUCGUGGGGGAUAACGUAGGGAAACUUACGCUAAUACCGCAUACGACCUACGGGUGAAAGCAGGGGAUCUUCGGACCUUGCGCGAUUGAAUGAGCCGAUGUCGGAUUAGCUAGUUGGCGGGGUAAAGGCCCACCAAGGCGACGAUCCGUAGCUGGUCUGAGAGGAUGAUCAGCCACACUGGAACUGAGACACGGUCCAGACUCCUACGGGAGGCAGCAGUGGGGAAUAUUGGACAAUGGGCGCAAGCCUGAUCCAGCCAUACCGCGUGGGUGAAGAAGGCCUUCGGGUUGUAAAGCCCUUUUGUUGGGAAAGAAAAGCAGCAGGUUAAUACCCCGCUGUUCUGACGGUACCCAAAGAAUAAGCACCGGCGAACUUCCU
rnacentral:rRNA from 1 species